CGUAGGUAAUCUACCCUAAAGUUUUGGAAUAACCGGCCGAAAGGCUGGCUAAUACUGGAUAGAGCGACGGGAUCCGUGAACGGAUCUUUCGGGAAAGGGAGCUCGUAAGAGCCUUCGCUUUAGGAUGAGCCUGCGUCCCAUCAGCUAGUUGGUAAGGUAAUGGCUUACCAAGGCUUUGACGGGUAGCUGGUCUGAGAGGAUGAUCAGCCACACUGGAACUGAAACACGGUCCAG
rnacentral:rRNA from 1 species